rnacentral:rRNA from 1 species
CACACCGCCCGUCGCUACUACCGAUCGAAUGGCUAAGUGAGGACUCGGGACUGGCUCAGAGAGGUCGGCAACGACCACUCAGAGCCGGAAACUUGUUCAAACUUGGUCAUUUAGAGGAAGUAAAAGUCGUAACAAGGUCUUCGUAGGUGAACCUGCGGAGGGAUCAUUACCGAGUUAGGGUCCUCACAGGCCCGACCUCCCAACCCAUUGUUUAUGAUACUCAGUGUUGCUUCGGCAGGCCUGGUCUUUGACCUGCCGGAGGGCCGUAACACGCCCCCCGGAGAGCGCCUGCCGACGGCCCCAACUUCAAAAUUCUUAACUAAACAUGUCUUUGUCUAAGUACAGUCUUUAAUAAAAGCAAAACUUUCAACAACGGAUCUCUUGGUUCUGGCAUCGAUGAAGAACGCAGCGAAAUGCGAUAAGUAAUGCGAAUUGCAGAAUUCUCGUGAGUCAUCGAAUCUUUGAACGCACAUUGCGCCCUUUGGUAUUCCGAAGGGCAUGCCUGUUCGAGCGUCAUUUUCACCCCUCAAGCCCCCGGCUUGGUGUUGGACGGUUUGGUCCCGGGACCCCCCUGGACCCCUCCCAAAGACAAUGACGGCGGGCUGUCGCACCCCCGGUACACUGAGCAUCUUCACGGAGCACGUACCGGUCUCCAGGGUCGACGGCACCCGGUCUCACACCUAUAUCUUUCAAGGUUGACCUCGGAUCAGGUAGGAAUACCCGCUGAACUUAAGCAUAUCAAUAAGCGGAGGAAAAGAAACCAACAGGGAUUGCCUCAGUAACGGCGAGUGAAGCGGCAACAGCUCAAAUUUGAAAUCUGGCCUCUUUGGGGUCCGAGUUGUAAUUUGUAGAGGAUGUUUCGGGUACCGCCUCGGUUUAAAUUUCUUGGAACAGAAUGUCAGAGAGGGUGAGAAUCCCGUCUUGGACCGGCGGUAGGGCCCAUGU